rnacentral:rRNA from 1 species
AGCAGCCGCGGUAAUUCCAGCUCCAAUAGCGUAUAUUAAAGUUGCUGCAGUUAAAAAGCUCGUAGUUGAAUUUCGGGACCAUCAUGUUGGUCGUGCCUCGGUACGUACUGGCAUUGUUGGUUUCUCCCUUCUGACGAACCAUGAUGUCAUUUAUUUGGUGUUGUGGGAAAUCAGGACUGUUACUUUGAAAAAAUUAGAGUGUUUAAAGCAGGCUCACGCUUGAAUACAUUAGCAUGGAAUAAUGAAAUAGGACGUUUGAUUCUAUUUUGUUGGUUUCUAGGAUCGACGUAAUGAUUAAUAGGGAUAGUUGGGGGCAUUAGUAUUCAAUUGUCAGAGGUGAAAUUCUUGGAUUUAUUGAAGACUAACUACUGCGAAAGCAUUUGCCAAGGAUGUUUUCAUUAAUCAAGAACGAAAGUUAGGGGAUCGAAGACGAUCAGAUACCGUCGUAGUCUUAACCAUAAACUAUGCCGACUAGGGAUCGGAUGAUGUUAAUUUUUAAUGACUCAUUC